UGACUAUUAAUGGGAUAGAGCUAAUUUCUAUUUACACACCUCCACCCAAAAAGUUAAUUAGCUCAAGGUCCCUUUACAUCCUUAGAGGAAUCACACCCUGACUUAACCACUAGCCAGUAGCGCCAUCUACUGACAAAAUCCAGAAUGACAAUCCAUAAAAAUAAAAUAAAAUAAGAUAAAAUACCCCUACCCCUUACCCUACCCCCACCCAUAAUAAUAUAUAUAAAAAUUAAAAAUAUAAAAAAUAUACAAUAACUAGAUAAAAUACAUUGAAAAUUAUUUUCUUUUCCCCUUUCCUUUAAUCUAAACCCCUGAUUACAACACCCUGUAGCUUGAAUGCUACUCUACUAGAAAACUUUCUGGAUUUUGUCCAAUUGGGAACCUUUAAGUUUUCAGAAUACCUCCUUCUUCUUAUCUUGCUAGGGAAUUUUCUUUACGAAUACCUAAAUGUUGAGGCACAAAAAGUUCAAGAAUUCCAACUAUACAUGCCCUAAAUUCACAGUUGAGGGAACCAAGGCAAAUAGAGUUUAAAUAACUUGCCCAAGGGUACCCACUUACCAUCUUUUUGAGGCUAGAUUAAAUUUGCUUUUCUGACUCCAAGUUCUGAUCUCUUUUCCCUUCACUACCAGCUAUCUUUAAUUUCCAGAUAAUGGAGACUGUGGAAUGUUUCUAUCCUACUAUUAAAAGAGGGCUUCAAGUUCCUAGAGAAAAUUUUAUCUCUUGUUUUCAGCAAGGGAGAGCACCAUGGCUUCUAAAGUAAAAAGGCCCAAAGAGUUCCUGCCCAGAAACAAUGACUAAUUUUGAAGUGAAGGAUAUGUCUACAAAGCUGAGGCUUUUUGUGGAAGGAUCUGGCCCCCAAAGAUG